rnacentral:rRNA from 1 species
UACGGGGGGGGCAAGCGUUGUUCGGAAUUACUGGGCGUAAAGGGCGCGUAGGCGGCCUUCUAAGUCAGACGUGAAAUCCCUCGGCUCAACCGAGGAACUGCGUCUGAUACUGGAAGGCUUGAAUCCGGGAGAGGGAUGUGGAAUUCCAGGUGUAGCGGUGAAAUGCGUAGAUAUCUGGAGGAACACCGGUGGCGAAGGCGGCUCACUGGCUGGUAACUGACGCUGAGGCGCGAAAGCGUGGGGAGCAAACAGG